rnacentral:rRNA from 1 species
UACGGGGGGAGCAAGCGUUGUUCGGAUUUACUGGGCGUAAAGGGCGCGUAGGCGGUCAGCACAAGUCAGUUGUGAAAUCUCCGGGCUUAACUCGGAAAGGUCAACUGAUACUGUGCGACUAGAGUGCGGAAGGGGCAACUGGAAUUCUUGGUGUAGCGGUGAAAUGCGUAGAUAUCAAGAGGAACACCUGCGGCGAAGGCGGGUUGCUGGGCCGACACUGACGCUGAGGCGCGAAAGCGUGGGGAGCGAACAGG